rnacentral:misc_RNA from 1 species
GAAAUGCGAUAAGUAAUGUGAAUUGCAGAAUUCAGUGAAUCAUCGAAUCUUUGAACGCACAUUGCGCCCGCCAGUAUUCUGGCGGGCAUGCCUGUUCGAGCGUCAUUUCAACCAUCAAGCCCCCGGCUUGUGUUGGGGACCUGCGGCUGCCCGCAGGCCCUGAAAAACAGUGGCGGGCUCGCUGUCACACCGAGCGUAGUAGCAUACAUUCUCGCUCAGGGCGUGCUGCGGGUUCCGGCCGUUAAACGACCUUCAUAACCCAAGGUUGACCUCGGAUCAGGUAGAAAGACCCGCUGAACUUAGGC